GUUCGACCACUUAGCAGAGAUAUUUAAUUUACUUAGAUCAUGUUUAUUGUCUACUCAGUUUACAUAUACUUUCUAAGUUAAAAUAUUACCUCUUAAGCCCAUAAAUAACUAGAGAUAAAUAUUUAAGACAUUCAGAUUUCAUAGUGUUAUUGUACUACAUUCGACAGUAAGUGAUGUUUAACUUUAUAAUUUCCUGUUUUGAUGGAAAACAAUAUUUAAAAGCAAUAAGACAUGAGGAAUAUAAAAGAGAAUCAUGAAGAUAUACAAACGCAUUCUAUUUAUAAAUAAUUAGAAAUAAAUUGACAAAGAAUACUAUUCUUCCAAGUAUAAAACCCAGACCUAACCCAUUAUUAUGACUUUCCCAG